UGGGGAAUAUUGGACAAUGGGGGGAACCCUGAUCCAGCCAUGCCGCGUGUGUGAAGAAGGCCUUAUGGUUGUAAAGCACUUUAAGCGAGGAGGAGGGUACUGGUAUUAAUACUACCAGGUACUGGACGUUACUCGCAGAAUAAGCACCGGCUAACUCUGUGCUAGCAGCCGCGGUAAUACAGAGGGUGCAAGCGUUAAUCGGAAUUACUGGGCGUAAAGCGCGCGUAGGUGGUUCGUUAAGUUGAAUGUGAAAGCCCCGGGCUCCACCUGGGAACUGCAUCCAAAACUGGCGAGCUAGAGUAGGGCAGAGGGUGGUGGAAUUUCCUGUGUAGCGGUGAAAUGCGUAGAUAUAGGAAGGAACACCAGUGGCGAAGGCGACCACCUGGGCUCAUACUGACACUGAGGUGCGAAAGCGUGGGGAGCAAACAGG
rnacentral:rRNA from 1 species